rnacentral:lncRNA from 1 species
GACGGAAGGCGUGGAAGCGGGAGGGGCCUUCGUGUGAAAAUCCCUUGUGGGGUUUGGUGUUUCACUUUUUAAAGGGAGGGAGUUCUCACAAGAUCUGAUGGUUUAAGCGUGGCAGUUUCCCCUGAGCUCUCCUUCCUGCUGGUAUGUAAGGCGUGCUUUGCUUCCUCUUCACCUUCCGCCAUGAUUGUACAUUUCCUGAGGCCUCCCCAGCCAUGCAGAACUGCAUACAACUUAGGAUUCAUAACUACAUAUAUACGGAUAGAAGUGCAUGAACAGAAAAUCUGCCCUUCUGGAAUACCAAAUGCAAAAUUAAAGUGACUACAAGCAGAAUUUGGAGAAAAAAAUAAAAGAUGCAAUAUAGUUUUUAAAAUCAUUGUUAAAAUAUAAUGAGUCUGUACUUUGCUUAAACAAUAAAAAAGUCUUCGAUUUAU